CUUAACACAUGCAAGUCGAGCGGAGUGGUUGUGCUUGCACAAUCACUUAGCGGCGGACGGGUGAGUAAUGCUUAGGAAUCUGCCUAUUAGUGGGGGACAACAUUCCGAAAGGAAUGCUAAUACCGCAUACGCCCUACGGGGGAAAGCAGGGGAUCUUCGGACCUUGCGCUAAUAGAUGAGCCUAAGUCGGAUUAGCUAGUUGGUGGGGUAAAGGCCUACCAAGGCGACGAUCUGUAGCGGGUCUGAGAGGAUGAUCCGCCACACUGGGACUGAGACACGGCCCAGACUCCUACGGGAGGCAGCAGUGGGGAAUAUUGGACAAUGGGGGGAACCCUGAUCCAGCCAUGCCGCGUGUGUGAAGAAGGCCUUUUGGUUGUAAAGCACUUUAAGCGAGGAGGAGGCUACUAGUACUAAUACUACUGGAUAGUGGACGUUACUCGCAGAAUAAGCACCGGCUAACUCUGUGCCAGCAGCCGCGGUAAUACAGAGGGUGCGAGCGUUAAUCGGAUUUACUGGGCGUAAAGCGUGCGUAGGCGGCUGAUUAAGUCGGAUGUGAAAUCCCUGAGCUUAACUUAGGAAUUGCAUUCGAUACUGGUCAGCUAGAGUAUGGGAGAGGAUGGUAGAAUUCCAGGUGUAGCGGUGAAAUGCGUAGAGAUCUGGAGGAAUACCGAUGGCGAAGGCAGCCAUCUGGCCUAAUACUGACGCUGAGGUACGAAAGCAUGGGGAGCAAACAGGAUUAGAUACCCUGGUAGUCCAUGCCGUAAACGAUGUCUACUAGCCGUUGGGGCCUUUGAGGCUUUAGUGGCGCAGCUAACGCGAUAAGUAGACCGCCUGGGGAGUACGGUCGCAAGACUAAAACUCAAAUGAAUUGACGGGGGCCCGCACAAGCGGUGGAGCAUGUGGUUUAAUU
rnacentral:rRNA from 1 species